GACGAACGCUGGCGGCGUGCUUAACACAUGCAAGUCGACGACGCUACUGAGUAGCAAUAUUUAGUAGUGGAGUGGCGCAAGGGUGAGUAAUGUAUACGUAACCAACCCAUCGGAGACGGAUAACAUUUCGAAAGGGAUGCUAAAACGGCAUGAAGCCACGAUUUCGCAUGAGAUUGUGGUUAAAGAACCGGUAACAGGUUGCCGAUGGCUGGGCGUAUAUCCGAUUAGCUAGUUGGUAGUGUAAUGGACUACCAAGGCGACGAUCGGUAGCUGGUCUGAGAGGAUGAUCAGCCACACUGGAACUGAGACGCGGGCCAGACUCCUACGGGAGGCAGCAGUGGGGAAUAUUGGGCAAUGCCCGCAAGGGUGACCCAGCAACGCAGCGUGGAGGAUGAAGGCCGUAAGGUUGUAAACUCUGACAAGCAGGGAAGAACGGCUAUGGUAAAAGGCCAUAGAAUGACGGUACCUGCCUGAAGCCCCGGCUAACUACGU
rnacentral:rRNA from 1 species